rnacentral:rRNA from 1 species
AACGAACGUUGGCGGCAUGGCUUAGGCAUGCAAGUCGAACGCUUGUAGCAAUACAAGAGUGGCGAACGGGUGAGCAAUCCGUAGAUAACCUGCCCUCGAGUGAGGAAUAGCUACUGGAAACGGUAGGUAAUACCGCAUGACAUCAUGGGUCGCAUGGCCCAUGAUCAAAAGCCGCAAGGCGCUUGAGGAGGGAUCAACGGCGUAUCAGCUUGUUGGUGAGGUAACGGCUCACCAAGGCGAUGACGCGUAGCCGGUCUGAGAGGAUGGUCGGCCACACCGGGAACUGAGACACUGCCCGGACACCUACGGGUGGCUGCAGUCGAGAAUCUUCGGCAAUGGGCGCAAGCCUGACCGAGCGAUGCC